rnacentral:rRNA from 1 species
UACGUAGGGUGCGAGCGUUAAUCGGAAUUACUGGGCGUAAAGCGUGCGCAGGCGGUUUGAUAAGCCAGAUGUGAAAUCCCCGAGCUCAACUUGGGAACUGCGUUUGGAACUGUUAGGCUAGAGUGCGUCAGAGGGGGGUGGAAUUCCGCGUGUAGCAGUGAAAUGCGUAGAGAUGCGGAGGAACACCGAUGGCGAAGGCAGCCCCCUGGGAUGACACUGACGCUCAUGCACGAAAGCGUGGGGAGCAAACAGG